rnacentral:rRNA from 1 species
UACAGAGGGUGCAAGCGUUAAUCGGAAUUACUGGGCGUAAAGCGUGCGCAGGCGGUUCGUUGUGUCGGUGGUGAAAUCCCCGGGCUUAACCUGGGAAUGGCCAUGGAAACUGGCGAACUGGAGUGCGGCAGAGGGGGGUGGAAUUCCGCGUGUAGCAGUGAAAUGCGUAGAGAUGCGGAGGAACACCGAUGGCGAAGGCAGCCCCCUGGGCUAGCACUGACGCUCAGGCACAAAAGCGUGGGGAGCAAACAGG